UGAAACAAGGAAGCAAAAAUGCAGCAGACCCUUGAUAUCACUGAAACUGCUACGAUUAAUUGCCAUGGCUGAAGCUGAAGAGACCAGAAAAAUGUGAGCAAGCUGAAGUAAUAAAAUCAAAUGGAAUCAACAGCGAGCUGUCUUCCUCUGCUGGAAAUGGAAAGCCCGUUCCUCCUGGUGAGGAAGGAUCACCGUUAAUAGUGAUCCGAAUAACAGAUCACGAACAUAAAAGGGAAGGUUACUGUUCUGAGGGCCGGCAACUCGAAGAGGAGCAGCUCAGCCUGUUUUGUUGAUUUUGGUGAUACUGUUUUGAGGAAGCAGGUAAGUACAGAAGGGGUCUGGGAGGCUUUUCAAACAAGAUGG
rnacentral:lncRNA from 1 species